GACGAACGCUGGCUGCGUGCUUAACACAUGCAAGUCGAACGCUGAAGCCCCAGCUUGCUGGGGUGGAUGAGUGGCGAACGGGUGAGUAACACGUGAGUAACCUGCCCCUGACUUCGGGAUAAGCCCGGGAAACUGGGUCUAAUACCGGAUACGACUAUCGGACGCAUGUCUGGUGGUGGAAAGUUUUUUCGGUUGGGGAUGGGCUCGCGGCCUAUCAGUUUGUUGGUGAGGUAAUGGCUCACCAAGACGACGACGGGUAGCCGGCCUGAGAGGGCGACCGGCCACACUGGGACUGAGACACGGCCCAGACUCCUACGGGAGGCAGCAGUGGGGAAUAUUGCACAAUGGGGGAAACCCUGAUGCAGCGACGCAGCGUGCGGGAUGACGGCCUUCGGGUUGUAAACCGCUUUCAGCAGGGAAGAAGCCUUCGGGUGACGGUACCUGCAGAAGAAGAACCGGCUAACUACGUG
rnacentral:rRNA from 1 species